rnacentral:rRNA from 1 species
GACGAACGCUGGCGGCGUGCCUAAUACAUGCAAGUAGAACGCUGAAGGAGGAGCUUGCUUCUCUGGAUGAGUUGCGAACGGGUGAGUAACGCGUAGGUAACCUGCCUGGUAGCGGGGGAUAACUAUUGGAAACGAUAGCUAAUACCGCAUAAGAGUAGAUGUUGCAUGACAUUUGCUUAAAAGGUGCAAUUGCAUCACUACCAGAUGGACCUGCGUUGUAUUAGCUAGUUGGUGGGGUAACGGCUUACCAAGGCGACGAUACAUAGCCGACCUGAGAGGGUGAUCGGCCACACUGGGACUGAGACACGGCCCAGACUCCUACGGGAGGCAGCAGUAGGGAAUCUUCGGCAAUAGACGGAAGUCUGACCGAGCAACGCCGCGUGAGUGAAGAAGGUUUUCGGAUCGUAAAGCUCUGUUGUAAGAGAAGAACGAGUGUGAGAGUGGAAAGUUCACACUGUGACGGUAGCUUACCAGAAAGGGACGGCUAACUACGUG